UAAGGAAUAUUGGUCAAUGGGCGGAAGCCUGAACCAGCCACGCCGCGUGCAGGAAGACGGCCCUACGGGUUGUAAACUGCUUUUGUUUGGGAAGAAAUCCCUUUUGCGAAAGGGUCUGACGGUACCAGACGAAUAAGCACCGGCUAACUCCGUGCCAGCAGCCGCGGUAAUACGGAGGGUGCAAGCGUUAUCCGGAUUUAUUGGGUUUAAAGGGUGCGUAGGCGGCCUGUUAAGUCAGUGGUGAAAGUCGGCAGCUCAACUGUCGAAUUGCCUUUGAUAUAGGCAGGCUUGAAUGAAGUUGAAGAGGGCGGAAUGUGACAUGUAGCGGUGAAAUGCAUAGAUAUGUCACAGAACACCGAUUGCGAAGGCAGCUCUCUAAGCUUGAAUUGACGCUGAUGCACGAAAGCGUGGGGAUCAAACA
rnacentral:rRNA from 1 species